AAAGCAGGGGAUCGUAAGACCUUGCGCUUUUGGAGUGGCCGAUGCCUGAUUAGCUAGUUGGUGGGGUAAGGGCCUACCAAGGCAACGAUCAGUAGUUGGUCUGAGAGGACGACCAGCCACACUGGGACUGAGACACGGCCCAGACUCCUACGGGAGGCAGCAGUGGGGAAUUUUGGACAAUGGGCGAAAGCCUGAUCCAGCAAUGCCGCGUGAGUGAAGAAGGCCUUCGGGUUGUAAAGCUCUUUCAGUCGAGAAGAAAAGGUUGCGACUAAUAAUCGCAACUUAUGACGGUAUCGACAGAAGAAGCACCGGCUAACUACGUGCCAGCAGCCGCGGUAAUACGUAGGGUGCGAGCGUUAAUCGGAAUUACUGGGCGUAAAGGGUGCGCAGGCGGCUUUGUAAGUCAGAUGUGAAAUCCCCGGGCUUAACCUGGGAAUUGCGUUUGAAACUACAAAGCUAGA
rnacentral:rRNA from 1 species